UGCAAUCGCAGCUUGUGCGUCACGACGCCGCCAGCUGAUCGCAGACUGUAGCCGGUGUGUGCUGGGCGCUGGGAAGAGACAGCGCCGCCGGCCGUGGGGAUCGGACGCACUGAUUUGCUCCCCUACCCUCAGCACCCCCCCACCCAGCACCAGGAGCCUGUACCUCCCACAUCCUCACCUGGCUGAGCCGCAGUAGUUCUUCAGUGGCAAGCUUUAUGUCCUGACCCAGCUAAAGCUGCCAGUUGAAGAACUGUUGCCCUCUGCCCCUGGCUUCGAGGAGGAGGAGGAAGAAGAGGAGAAGGAGCUGCCUUCCCCUCAUCUGGAAGGUGACAGAACUGGGUCUGGGAAGGUCUGAACAGCGAGCGUGAUGAUACCUUUGGGAAAGGGAACCCUAUUCAGCUGGAGAAACUUCACCCAGAUUGAGCCAGCAGGAGAGAAAAUUUCAGAUUAGAGACCUUGGCUGAAUUGGGGAAUAGAUGGCUCUGACUACACCCAAGGUUAGUUGGUCUCUGUGUGACAAUGGGAAGAAGUGGAGCAAAGAAAACCCUGCCUACCCCUUCACCUAGAUGUCUUUUCCUGACCCUCCUUCCUUCCUCAUCCCCCCUUCUUUCCUAUUGGCCUUUCCAAGUUCAAAAGUAAGUUUCCUCUUCAGGGAAAAGGUCGUACUGAGACUCCCAUCUGAGUAGUCAUCCCCCUGCUCUUAAUUUUUCCCCGUAUUUCCUUAGUCUGGCCCAGACUCUAGAUUCAGGGAUACUUACCUCUAUGUGAGACCCUUAGACCUCCUGUCUCAUCUUCUCCACCUGUGAGGUGGGGAAUCGCACAGUUGAGCAUGCGUGAGGGAAUCAGAAGCCCACUUGUGUGGACUCAGAGCCUGGGCUCUCCUCCACAGUGGGUGGGAACAAAACAGCUUUUCACAUAAGCUAUUGCCCUUCCCCCAUCCCUGACCAGAACCCCAGGAGCUGGGGGUGGAGGUUGGACAGAGGGACUAGGGUUAGACCAAUGCAAGGGGCUGCUGGGAAAUCAGUCUCUGCAUUGACUUCCCACCAAGCAAAGGUGGCCCAGGCUUCCCCUGCCUCCCAAAGCAGGGCUGCAUCCCCUGAUAGGGUUCCAGCUGCCACUGCUCUCUUCCCCCACUCACUUUUCCAGGAUAGUGUGUGAGAUUUAGCUCAGGCCUGUGCAGGCUGGAAAUUCUCCCCUCCAGCAACCAGAAGAGAUAGGUUAUGGGAUGUAAUCCCUUUAGGGGCAUCAGGCAGAGUAAACCUACCACCCCCAGCUCCUGAUCUAAUGUCACUCUCGGGCUCAGGCUCUGGUGUGAUUCAGCCUUGGCCCAGUCUCCCUGUCUGAAGGUGACCAAGUUCAGGGGUUACAGGAAGCUGUUUGUUCCAUUUGGGGGCAGAAGUUGUGCAGGGAGCUGGGUCCUAUUCUCCAUUUAUGAGAAACAGAUUUAGGGCAGAGUAGAUCACUGAACCCACCCUUCUGUAGCCUAAGCUGGAUGUGUGUGGGACUGCGGUAGAGGGGGGUGGGUAGACUGAGUCCACUCAUAGGCUGCCACAAGGGUCGCUCUGUCCCUGGACAGUGCCUCCGUCCUUUCUUCCCCUCCCGCUUCACUGGGCACAGUGUCUCCCUCCAGCCUUGGGUAUGUGGCUCUGCCAUCCUCACCCAUCAUGGAGCAGAAAUGAGGAAGAGCAGCCUGGGAACACAGAGGCAGGCAGAAGACUAGUGAAGGACCAGGCCUGGAGAGCACAGGGCCCUGUCUGGACAUCUGCAGAGGGGGGCCCAUAGAGGCCAGGAGAGCCCCUGGAGGAGGGAGGACAGCCAGCCUCCAUCGAGGACAAGCUUCCAGCCAUCUACUUCAUUCUCCGUUGCUCUCCAGUCGUUCUGCCUCCCUCAGCGAUGUGGGACCAUGUUAAAGCGUCCUUGGCUUCAUCCUGCUGCUUCCACCUCUCCCCACCAUGUCAUUUAGCUGUGAAAGGACAUAUGCAGAAAAUUCUUAAAAGAAAUUCAAAUGGAUUUGAAUGUGUGGGAAAUAAUGUGUGCUUCAUUAGUAAUUAAAGAGAGGCAAAUAUAGCUGAAAGCAUUUUUCCCGUAGCAAACUAUAACAGAAAAAAAUAAGACCCAGUUAUUGGCAAAGGAGUACUAAAAUAACACUCUCUACAUUGCAUAUGGGCGUACAAAUUGGUACAGCCUUACUGAUGUCAGUUUGGUAAUAUGUAUCAAACAUCCUAAAAGUUUCCAUGGCCUUUGACCUAGUAAUUCUACAUUUGGGAAUUUAUCCUAAGGAAAUAAUUAAAGAUUAGUUUAAAUGAUGUUCAUCCCAGCAUUGCAGUAGAGAAAAAUGAGAAGCAACUAUCUGGUUGGGAAUUGAUUUCUUUUCUGCUAUAAUUGAAAUUUACAAGAGGGGGUUGCUUAAGUAAAUUCCUGUAUAUCCAUCCGGAUGGUGGGGUGGAGUGCUGCGCAGCCAUUAAAAGUCACGUAGAAGAACAUUUGACUGGAAAGAAAAAUGCUCCUUGAACAUUAAAAGGUUAUAAAAAUGGUGUAUAUUAUGUGAUCUCAAUUUUGUUUUUAUACAUAAAACAGUUUGAAAAAGACUGAAGACAUACUCCAAAUUGUUAAUAAUAGUAGUUAUCUUUGAAUGAUGGAAUAAAGUAGUUGUAAUUUUCCUGUUUGGUUUUCUGUAGUUGCCAAAUUUUCUACAUUAAUUGUGUAUGACUUUCAUAUAAUAAAAUUUAAAAGAAUCAG